CCCAUUCCCCCACCUCCCUCCCCUCUGAAGCCCUCAGUUUAUUUCCCAGAGUCCAUAGUCUCUCAUGGUUCAUUCCCCCUUCUGUUUACCCCCCUCUUUCUUCUUCCCUUUCUUCUCCUACCGAUCUUCCUACUUCUUAUGAUCCAUAAAUGAGUGAAACCAUAUGAUAAUUGUCUUUCUCUGCUUGACUUAUUUCGCUUAGCAUUUAUUUAUUUUUUUAAGUAAACUCUACCCCCAAUGUGGGGCUCAAACACAUGACCCCAAGAUCAAGAGUCACAUGUUCUACCAACUCAGCCAGCCAGAUACCCCUCUCUGUGUUCAUUUUAAAUAACUAACAUGAGUAGACAUUUUUUAUGAGCAAGGAAAGUGCCUACUCACGUCCCAGACAUUUAAUCAAAUGCCAUUAUCCUUUACUAAAAUUUAACUGAUAGCCUAAAAUGUUGCAUUUUUCCUGUAAUUACUGUAUAUUUGUACUUUCUAAACUGAGUUUUUAGUGAGACCAGGGAGACAAAAAGAGGACUGACGUUUAUAGAGUUCCUACAAACUGUUAGGCACUUCAGUUAUGAUCUCAUUGAGUACCUGGCAGCUCUGAGUUAAUUAUUACCCCCAUUUUAUAGUGAAGAAGCUGAGGCUCAGAGAGUUAACCAAGUGAUGUGACUUGUGACGCAGUAAAUGCUGGGAACCAGAUUCGAAGCAAACCUCCGAAGUCCUGAGUGACUCACGGCACACUUCUGGCCCUUCUAUCAGUUAAAUUUGGGUGCCCCAAGAGCUAUGUCUUGUAAUGACUGAAAUACUGUCCUGUCUGAGUCUGUCUUCUUUCAGUAUCCUAACCGGUGGUGAUGUUGAAUCUUUUCAAACAUGAAGCUCUUAACAUCUCAUUGAAAUACUGCUGAUGUCCUAUGGAGAAAAGAUUGCUGUGUUGGGUAUAAAAAGGCCUUAUUAGUCCUAAUGAGCUGUGCAACACCAAGACAGCUGACACCAGGAAGUAAAAGGACAAAGAACCUGAUGAAAAGGAGCCUUGAUCCCAGGCUGGCUGUGUUGUCAGCCUCAGAAACCAUAGAUGUAAAGCUGGCCUGGGGCCUCCAAGCUCUUCAAGACCCAGUUUUCAGCUGCCUGACGGUAGAAAGAGCUCUGCAGCAGUGGGGCGAAUGUAGAAAAGGAGGCUGCCUCCUUCCCUUUCCUGCCCUGUCAACAACUGAGCAGGCAGUUAGCUGGGGGCCUGGAAGGUCCAGGAUUGGAUGGACAGGCACUGCCCUCCCAGACUUGCAGGAGCUCCCAGGACCCCAGGAUCCCAUCGCUGUGUUCCAAUACCGACAGUUGUGGGCAGACCCCAGCUUUAAAAAUGUGAUGCCGAGCACCUGUUGGGCUGCAUGA
rnacentral:lncRNA from 1 species